AUUGAACGCUGGCGGCAGGCUUAACACAUGCAAGUCGAGCGGGGACUUCGGUCCUAGCGGCGAACGGGUGAGGAAUGCUUGGGAAUCUGCCCAGUAGCGGGGGAUAACGCUUCGAAAGGAACGCUAAUACCGCAUACGCCCUACGGGGGAAAGGGGGGGAUCUUCGGACCUCUCACUAUUGGAUGAGCCCAAGUCGGAUUAGCUAGUUGGUGAGGUAAAGGCUCACCAAGGCGACGAUCCGUAGCUGGUCUGAGAGGACGAUCAGCCACACUGGAACUGAGACACGGUCCAGACUCCUACGGGAGGCAGCAGUGGGGAAUAUUGGACAAUGGGCGAAAGCCUGAUCCAGCCAUGCCGCGUGUGUGAAGAAGGCCUUCGGGUUGUAAAGCACUUUAAGCGAGGAGGAAUGGCUCCGGGUUAAUACCCUUGAGCAUAGACGUUACUCGCAGAAUAAGCACCGGCUAACUCUGUGCCAGCCGCCGCGGUAA
rnacentral:rRNA from 1 species